UGAGUUCGCGGGGGAGUAGGUUAUUGCCAGGGUUUUUAUUUUGUACUUUAAAUCCUAAAUUUAUUUUUUAUAUUUUUAUAAUGUUCAUGUUUUUGAAUGUUUUAUUCAAAUAAUGUAAAAAAUAAAAUAGAUAUUGACAUGGCUUGAACAAAAGAUAUAUAUUAUUUUAUGUUGCAUAAACAAAUUGGCAAAAUAGAGAUGGAAGAUAAAAAUAUGGUCAAAGUAAUAAGAGUCUAUGGUGAAUGCCUAGGAGCUUUAAGGCGAAGAAGGUCGUGGUAAGCUGCGAAAAGCUUGGGGGAGAAGCAAACAUUUAUUGAUCCCAAGAUUACCGAAUGGAGUAAUCCA
rnacentral:misc_RNA from 1 species